CCAACCUCACCCAAUCCCAGCGCGAAACCGCCGUAAAAAAAGUCAAGAGCGGCCAAGCUCAAAUUUUGCUGCUUUCCCCGGAAUUCCUGGUGGCAUCCGGAACUUUUUCCCGAUUUUUCCGGAAUUUUCCUCCCGUUGCUUUCGCCUGCCUGGAUGAAGCUCAUUGCAUCUCCCAAUGGUCCCACAAUUUCCGUCCUGCUUAUCUCAGGAUUUGCAAGGUUCUCCGGGAGCGUUUGGGUGUUGGUUGUUUCCUGGCUCUCACCGCCACAGCGGGGGGGGGGGGGGGGGGGGGGGGGGGGGGGGGGGGGGGGGGGGGGGGGGGGGGGGGGGGGGGGGGGGGGGGGGGGGGGGGGGGGGGGGGGGGGGGGGGGGGGGGGGGGGGGGGGGGGGGGCCGCCACAGCCACGGCAGCCACGGUUCGGGACAUCGCCCAAAAUUUGGGAAUUCCCCCAGAAAACGGCGCCGGAAUCGGAAUCUUCGGAAUUCCCAAAAAUCUGCGGCUCUCGGUGUCCAUGGAUCCCGACCGGGAUCAGGUGAGUUGGGAUUUUUG
rnacentral:lncRNA from 12 species